AACAAAACCAGGGCUUCUAAGGAACUGCUGCCGUCCAGUGGAAAGCGCGUCUUGCAAAAAGCAGAACGAAGCGACAGCGACUAGUUGCAAUCUGCCUUCUUUUAACCGCCAUGUUAUGUUCAGUGUUGCUUCCUGGCCAACAUCCCUCAGCAGGAGGAUGCACGAUCAUCGAGUUCAGAUGAACUGCGCGACCCCAGCCCCCUGUACCUCCACGUCCCUCGUCCUGCCGGGGUCCGGCGCGACCCCAGCCCACGGAACUUCCCCGUCCCUCGUCCUGCCGGGGUCCGGCGCGACCCCAGCCCACGGAACCUCCCCGUCCCUCGUCCUGCCGGGGUCCGGCGCGACCCCAGCCUCCCCUUUACCUCCACCCGUGCCACAGGCCCACUGAUGAUGAACAUGAUGAUGAUGACGAACAUGAUGAUGAUGAUGAUGAUGAUGAUGAUGAUGAUGCAAGCAGACAGCUGCGUGCAAGGGCUGACCAUUUUAAACGAAAAAUAAAACAGACCAAACAGGCAAAAACA